rnacentral:lncRNA from 1 species
UUGUUAAGUUGCUGCCCCUUAAUUGGUAAUUUUAAGGAAAUUUUACUGUUUUGGGUUAUUAUCUUGAAUAUUAUUAUAGAUAGAGAUAAACUUUAAACAGAAAUAAUGUACAGCAAAGUAAGAUUUACAAAUAAGUCAACAUGACUAAAAUGGUCAAUUGACCCCCUAAGGAGUUAUUGUCCUUUAUAGUCAAUUUUUAACAAUUUUUAUAAAAUUUGUAAAUUUUUACUAACAUUUUCCACUGAAACUAAUGGGCCAAGUUCAUUAUAGAUAGAGAUAACUGUAAGCAGCAAGAAUGUUCAGUAAAGUAAGACGUACAAACACAUCACCAUCACCAAAACACAAAUUUGUCAUGAAUCCAUCUGCUUCCUUUGUUUAAUAUUCACAUAGACCAAGGUGAGUGACACAGGCUCUUUAGAGCCUCUAGUUUAAGAAACAUAUCUGAAAGGUCAUUAUUUGAUAAUAGUAUAUAAAGCAUUUACUGUAGAAAAUUCUACAUUGGCAUCUGUCAGGUGUCAUUUGACAAUUGUCUUUUCAAAGUUCAUUGACUUUGCACACAAUUGUUAUAUUGGUAUUCCGACAAUUAUUUAUCAUCCAUUAGAUGUAAAGAUGAUGGACAUUAUAAUAACAGUCUAAAAGCAUUAAACAGAUAUUUCAGUUCGUUACUAUACCCCAUACUCCAGGAGAGAAGGAUUUGCUGAUGACUUGUCCGUAUGUCUGUCUAAAUAAUCAUCGAUUUGUCCAUC